GAUGAACGCUGGCGGCGUGCUUAACACAUGCAAGUCGAACGGAAAGGCCGAAGCUUGCUUCGGUACUCGAGUGGCGAACGGGUGAGUAACACGUGGGUGAUCUGCCCUGUACUUCGGGAUAAGCUUGGGAAACUGGGUCUAAUACCGGAUAUGACGAUCUCUUGGAUGGGGUUGUGGAAAGCUUUUGCGGUAUGGGAUGAGCUCGCGGCCUAUCAGCUUGUUGGUGGGGUAAUGGCCUACCAAGGCGUCGACGGGUAGCCGGCCUGAGAGGGUGUACGGCGACAUUGGGACUGAGAUACGGCCCAGACUCCUACGGGAGGCAGCAGGGGGGAAUAGUGCACAAUGGGCGCAAGCCUGAUGCAGCGACGCCGCGUGGGGGAUGACGGCCUUCGGGUUGUAAACUCCUUUCGCAAUCGACGAAGCCUUUUGGUGACGGUAGGUUGAGAAGAAGCACCGGCUAACUACGUG
rnacentral:rRNA from 1 species